CGACCGGCGCACGGGUGAGUAACACGUAUGAAACCUGCCCGUAGCAGGGGGAUAAGCGGAAGAAAUUCCGUCUAAUACCGUGUAACAACCCAUGGAGGCAUCUCUGUGGGUUUAAAGGAAGCGAUUCCGGCUACGGAUGGUCAUGCGUCGCAUUAGCUUGUUGGCGGGGUAACGGCCCACCAAGGCGACGAUGCGUAGGGGUUCUGAGAGGAAGGUCCCCCACACUGGUACUGAGACACAGACCAGACUCCUACGGGAGGCAGCAG
rnacentral:rRNA from 1 species